CAGCCGCCGCGGUAAUACGUAGGGUGCAAGCGUUAAUCGGAAUUACUGGGCGUAAAGCGUGCGCAGGCGGUGAUGUAAGACAGUUGUGAAAUCCCCGGGCUCAACCUGGGAACUGCAUCUGUGACUGCAUCGCUGGAGUGCGGCAGAGGGGGAUGGAAUUCCGCGUGUAGCAGUGAAAUGCGUAGAUAUGCGGAGGAACACCGAUGGCGAAGGCAAUCCCCUGGGCCUGCACUGACGCUCAUGCACGAAAGCGUGGGGAGCAAACAGGAUUAGAUACCCGCGUAGUCCCUGUCUCUUAUAC
rnacentral:rRNA from 1 species